GGCGGCGGUGGCUACCAUGCAGCCGAGCGGUAGAGAUUCUUCGGAAUCUUGAGAGCGGCGUACGGGUGCGGAACACGUGUGCAACCUGCCUUUAUCAAGGGGAUAGCCUUUCGAAAGGAAGAUUAAUACCCUAUAAUAUAUGAUUCGGCAUCGGAUUAUAUUGAAAACUACGGUGGAUAAAGAUGGGCACGCGCAAGAUUAGCUAGUUGGUGAGGUAACGGCUCACCAAGGCGACGAUCUUUAGGGGGCCUGAGAGGGUGAUCCCCCACACUGGUACUGAGACACGGACCAGACUCCUACGGGAGGCAGCAGUGAGGAAUAUUGGACAAUGGGUGGAAGCCUGAUCCAGCCAUCCCGCGUGUAGGAAGACGGCCCUAUGGGUUGUAAACUACUUUUAUCUGGGGAUAAACCUACUUACGUGUAAGUAGCUGAAGGUACCAGAUGAAUAAGCACCGGCUAACUCCGUGCCAGACC
rnacentral:rRNA from 1 species